rnacentral:rRNA from 1 species
CACGUAUUUAGCCGUUCCUUUCUGGUAAGAUACCGUCACACAUUGAACAGUUAAUCUCAAUGUCAUUCUUCUCUUACAACAGUGUUUUACGAGCCGAAACCCUUCAUCACACACGCGGCGUUGCUCCAUCAGGCUUUCGCCCAUUGUGGAAGAUUCCCUACUGCUGCCUCCCGUAGGAGUAUGGGCCGUGUCUCAGUCCCAUUGUGGCCGAUCAGUCUCUCAACUCGGCUAUGCAUCAUCGUCUUGGUGAGCCAUUACCUCACCAACUAACUAAUGCACCGCGGGACCAUCUCUUAGUGAUAGCAGAACCAUCUUUUAAGUAGCAACCAUGCGGUUGCUAUUGUUAUACGGUAUUAGCAUCUGUUUCCAAAUGUUAUCCCCUGCUAAGAGGUAGGUUUCCCACGUGUUACUCACCCGUUCGCCACUCUUUGCAAUGUCCAUCGUCAUAUCUGAGCAAGCUCUUCAAAUCAGUUGAACCACAAACG